UGGGGAAUAUUGGACAAUGGGCGAAAGCCUGAUCCAGCCAUGCCGCGUGUGUGAAGAAGGUCUUCGGAUUGUAAAGCACUUUAAGUUGGGAGGAAGGGCAUUAACCUAAUACGUUAGUGUUUUGACGUUACCGACAGAAUAAGCACCGGCUAACUCUGUGCCAGCAGCCGCGGUAAUACAGAGGGUGCAAGCGUUAAUCGGAAUUACUGGGCCUAAAGCGCGCGUAGGUGGUUUGUUAAGUUGGAUGUGAAAUCCCCGGGCUCAACCUGGGAACUGCAUUCAAAACUGACUGACUAGAGUAUGGUAGAGGGUGGUGGAAUUUCCUGUGUAGCGGUGAAAUGCGUAGAUAUAGGAAGGAACACCAGUGGCGAAGGCGACCACCUGGACUAAUACUGACACUGAGGUGCGAAAGCGUGGGGAGCAAACA
rnacentral:rRNA from 1 species